rnacentral:rRNA from 1 species
CACAAGGGACUCCAGCAGUAACCAACAUUGAACAUAAGCGACAGCUUGAUUCAGUCAGAGUGAAGAGGGCCGGCAAAUGUGGUGCCAGCCGCCGCGGUUAUACCACACGACCCAAGUUGACCUCACAGCGGCGUAAAGCGUGAUUAAAGUUACCCUACCACUAUAGUUAAACUACAAAUUAGCUGUAAAACGCUUUUUACCUAGUAAACCCAAAGACGAAAGUUACUAUACACAAAACAACUUGAAUUCAGUACAGUUAGGACACAAACUAGGAUUAGAUACCCUACUAUGCCUAACCAUAAACCUUUAACCUACACCAACAUCGCCAGGUAACUACGAGCAAAGCUUAAAACCCAAAGGACUUGACGGCCCCCCACAUCCCCCUAGAGGAGCCUGUCCUUUAAAUCGAUAGUCCCCGCUUAACCUCACCAUUUUUAGCCCCCAGUCUGUAUACCUCCGUCGUCAGCUUACCGCAUGAGCGACA